GAUGGAAUCCAGAGCCUCACAGGUGCUAGGGUUCCUAUCUUUCCUUCCCAUCAGUUAUAAAGCAACUUUAUAAUGCAGCAGCAGAGAUGUAUCUACUGUUAUUGUAUAAACUUAAAAUAUUGAAAACCUGAAUGUGCUCAGUGCAGGUAGCACUCAACAAACAACCAGGAUUGUUACCUACAGGCCACAGCCUUUCUGUUUAGCUGAUCUGUAUAACUCUUCAUUCAGUUUGGAACAACGAAUUAAAAGUCAUUUAUCUGUGGAAAAAAGCUGGGGGAGUGUGGCUGGGGAUGUGGUUCAGUGGUUAAGCACUCCUGGGUUCAAUCCCCAGUAUUUUUUAAAAAAGAAAAAUAGUUAUCAUUUAGUUUUUACCAAAAAUAAAUGAAUAGAAUUGUCAUUUUUAACUACUAAAACCAUAGGAGACAAAUGCCAAGAGUUUGAGGCCCUCCUGACUUAGAAAGACCUUUGGUAGAGCUAAACAAACUUGCCAGGUAUGGUGGCUCAUGCCUAUCAUCCCAAUUACUCCAGAAGCUGAGUCAGGAGGAUUGCAAGUUCAAAGUCAGCCUCAGCAACUUCACAAGUCACUAAGCCACUUAGUGAGACCCUGUCUCAACAUUGGAAAUAAAAAGGGCUGGGAAUAUAGCCCAAUGGUAAAGUGCCCCUGGGUUCAACCCCUAGGACAAAAAAAGAGAAAAGAAAAGAAAAUGAACAAAACAAUGGUUAUGAAAGCCGCCUUUGAAAUCAGAAGGUGCACUA
rnacentral:lncRNA from 1 species